rnacentral:misc_RNA from 1 species
GAUAAAGAACGCAGCAAAAUGCGAUAAGUAAUGUGAAUUGCAGAAUUCAGUGAAUCAUCGAAUCUUUGAACGCACAUUGCGCCCGCCAGUAUUCUGGCGGGCAUGCCUGUUCGAGCGUCAUUUCAACCCUCAAGCACAGCUUGGUGUUGGGACUCGCGUUAAUUCGCGUUCCCCAAAUUGAUUGGCGGUCACGUCGAGCUUCCAUAGCGUAGUAGUAAAACCCUCGUUACUGGUAAUCGUCGCGGCCACGCCGUUAAACCCCAACUUCUGAAUGUUGACCUCGGAUCAGGUAGGAAUACCCGCUGAACUUAAGCAUAUCAAUAAGCGGAGGA